rnacentral:rRNA from 1 species
AGGAUAAACGCUGGCGGCGUGCCUAACACAUGCAAGUCGAACGUCUCUUUCUUCGGGAAGAGGAGUGGCGGACGGGUGAGGAACACGUGGGAACCUGCCCUUCAGUGAGGAAUACCGGCGAGAAAUCGCCGACAAGACCGCAUAGCCCUCUCUGGUGAGAGCCAGAGAAGGAAAGCCUCGCAAGAGGCGCUGGAGGAGGGGCCUGCGUCCGAUUAGCUAGUUGGUGGGGUAAGAGCCUACCAAGGCGUCGAUCGGUAGCUGGUCUGAGAGGACGAUCAGCCACACUGGGAUUGAGAACGGCCCAGACUCCUACGGGGGCAGCAGUGAGGAAUUUUCGGCAAUGGGGGAAACCCUGACCGAGCAACGCCGCGUGCAGGAAGACGGCCUUCGGGUUGUAAACUGCUUUUCUUUGGGACGAGCAAGGACGGUACCAGAGGAAUCAGCCCGGCUCACUACGUGCCAGCAGCCGC